AUGACUGGGGUGAAGUCGUAACAAGGUAGCCCUAGGGGAACCUGGGGCUGGAUCACCUCCUUACGAAAUAG
rnacentral:rRNA from 1 species